UUGAGAGUUUGAUCCUGGCUCAGGAUAAACGCUGGCGGCAGGCAUUACACAUGCAAGUUGAGCGGUGAUUUAUGGAUAGUAAUAUUCAUGAUGAUCAGCGGCAAACGGGUGAGUAACGCGUAGGUAUUGUUUUUUAGUUUGGCAUAGCUAAUCGAAAGGUUAGGUAAUUCCGAAUGUGACUGCAAAGUUAAAGGGGUAACCCGCUAAGAACCAAGCCUGCGUCCCAUCAGCUAGUUGGUAGGGUAAAAGCCUACCAAGGCUAAGACGGGUAGCCGGACUGAGAGGUUGUACGGCCACACUGGGACUGAGACACGGCCCAGACACCUACGGGUGGCAGCAGUGGGGAAUCUUCGGCAAUGCGCGAAAGCGUGACCGAGCCAUGCCGCGUGAAGGACUAAGGCCUUAGGGUCGUAAACUUCUGUGGAGAAUUACUAUAAUGAAGAGUUCUCUAGAAAGGGGUUGCUAACUCUGUGCCAGCAGCAGCGGUAAUACAGAGACCCCAAGCGUUAUCCGGUUUUAUUGGGCGUAAAGCGUUCCGAUCGGUGGUUUUGUGUGUUUAGGGUUAAAGACCGCAGCUUAACUGCGUGUUUGCUCUAAAAACUACAUUACUUGAGGUAUGAAGAGGUAGCUGGAACUUUACAAGUAGGGGUGAAAUCCGUUGAUAUGUAAGGGAACACCUAAAGCGAAAGCAAGCUACUGGGCAUAUCCUGACACUGCUAGGACGAAAGCGUGGGGAGCGAUACGGAUUAGAUACCCGUGUAGUCCACGCCCUAAACGAUGAGUGCUCACUUUUGGAGGAAAUCAAUCUUCUUCAGAGGUAGAAGCUAACGCUAUAAGCACUCCGCCUGUAUAGUACGAGCGCAAGCUUAAAACACAAAGGAAUUGACGGGAGCCCGCACAAGCGGUGGAUCAUGUGGCUUAAUUCGAUAGUAAGCGAGGAACCUCACCUAGGUUUGACAUGUAACUGCAAAUCCUUCGAAAGUUGGACUUCUUCGAGAGUGUUACACAGAUGAUGCACGGUCGUCGUCAGCUCGUGUCGUGAGAUGUUCGGUUAAGUCCGGCAACGAGCGCAACCCCAAUCUUUAGUUAUUUAAUGUCUAAAGAGACUGCCUAAGUUUAAUUAGGAGGAAGGCUGGGAUGACGUCAGAUCAGCGUGUCUCUUACAUCUAGGGCUGCACACAUGAUACAAUGGGCAAGGUACAGUGAGACCGCCAAGUCGUGAGACCGAGCAAAUCUUCAAAACCUCCCUCAGUACGGAUUGAAGUCUGAAACCCGACUUCAUGAAGCUGGAAUCGCUAGUAAUCGUGAAUCAUCCUCUUCACGGUGAAUACGUUCUCGGGCUUUGUACACACUGCCCGUCAAGGUCUGGGAAUUAGGGGAGCCCCAAAACUCGAGUUUUCGAGUCAAAGGCUAAACUAGUAACUGGAUUUAAGUCGUAACAAGGCAUCCGUAGCGGAAGCUGUGGAUGGAUUACCUCCUUA
rnacentral:rRNA from 1 species